rnacentral:rRNA from 1 species
CGUAGGGUGCAAGCGUUAAUCGGAAUUACUGGGCGUAAAGCGUGCGCAGGCGGUGAUGUAAGACAGGUGUGAAAUCCCCGGGCUUAACCUGGGAACUGCAUUUGUGACUGCAUCGCUGGAGUGCGGCAGAGGGGGAUGGAAUUCCGCGUGUAGCAGUGAAAUGCGUAGAUAUGCGGAGGAACACCGAUGGCGAAGGCAAUCCCCUGGGCCUGCGCUGACGCUCAUGCACGAAAGCGUGGGGAGCAAACAGGAUAAGAUACCCUGGUAGUCCACGCCCUAAACGAUGUCAACUGGUUGUUGGGUCUUCACUGACUCAGUAACAAAGCUAACGCGUGAAGUUGACCGCCUGGGGAGUACGGCCGCAAGGUUG